UGGUCGCAAGAAUAUUUGAAGAGUGAAAAUUAUAGGUUAGCAAGUGUCGGCUGUCACCCUUUACGAUUCAGUAUUGGCGUGUACUCGGCACAAACGGAGCAGCAGCAGAUUUUCACGGCGCAAGCGAGCAGCGAGCUGAAGAAAAAAAAACAAAAAAAAAAACUAUACUUCUAUAUCGAACGGUCGAUCUGCGCUGUGCCUGUGAAUAAUCAGCUAGAAACAAGUUUUAAAUAAACUAAAAAAAAAAACAACAAUUGUGCAAUUCUACUGCAGUGCGGUGGCAAAAAAAAACUGUUGUUUGACAAAAUCUGAUUUCGUGGUGCGGUGGUGAAGCGAUAGAUGAAAAAAAGGUGUGGAAAUAAUUUUUUAUAGGAAUUUCCGUGAUGCGCUGAAAAAGUGUGUUACCGAGUUAUAUGUAUAUACAUACAUACAUAUUUAUGCGUGCAUGUGUUUUUAUAAAAAUUUGCAUUAAAAUUUAUCUGCUUUGUGGUGAAAAAGCAGCUGAAAAGGGUGCGAAAAUUUGCGAUUGUAGAAUCCUUAAUGCAAAAUUGCGGAGCGGAAGAGUGAGUGAGUGUAAAAAGUGAAGUAACCUUUCAUGCAAACCGAUAAUGUGCGAAAAGUGACAGAAAAAACGACACAGGAAGUAAGCGAGAAUCGUUAGAGCUGAGCAGGAAGUGGAAGCGACAAACGUGUGAAAGCAGGCAAUGCGCCGAUAAAAAAAGAAGAUAGAAAACGAGAAAAGAGUCGACAGCAAGUAGUAUAAAAUAGGAGUGAAAGCCGUGCGGAAAGAAGAAGAAUAGUAAGAGAAUAAAUUGAAGAUAAAGUAGAAAGUCAGUAAAAGUAAAACGAAGAUGAAGUUUGUAGAAUAUAACGGUAAAGUGGUAGCGGAAAAUGAGUAGUGAGCAGCAGAAAUAGAAAAAAAGGAGUAGGUAACUGAAAGAAGAAAGCUAUUAGGAUACCAAAAGAGCCGAAAGUUGUAGGCUGGAAAAAAUCGACGUAAGUGGACAACCAGUGGUGGGAAUAUUAAAAAAAAAUAUAUAUCUAAGUUUAAAUAAAAAAAUAUAUUUAAAUCACGAAUAACAAAAAACGCCAAAAAAAAAAUCUCAACACAAAACUUGCCAUCUUAGCUACAGUAAAAGAAGAUAGGAAAAGGAGAAGCAGUAGAAAUUGCAAUUGAAAUCGCAAUAGAAAACGCCGAAGUCAAAACGAAGUCGCAACGGAGUAACACUUGAGUCGAGCCCAGCCACAGCAGCAUUUGCCAGUAAUGAUUAAUGACGCCUACUUUGUACACACGAUGCUCCGUCAAGCGCUCCGAACGAAAGGAUUGAAUUUUUGAAAUACGGACAACAUGGAUAAACGCUCAAGUGUAGAAAGAAUUUACUUAAGCAGUUGAUAAAGACAAACAACAUUCAAACAUAUAAAUCUACGAAAACUAAAAACAAAAAAAAAGCCAUCAACGUGAAAAAAAUUCGACAAACGCAGAGAAGCAGCAAUAAAUUAUGUACGAAAGGAAAUACACGAAUCGAUGAUAGCAAAAAGAAAAGAAUUAUUACAAAAGUAACAAAAUAAUUAGUCGUUUGCUUGUUAACCUUUUACACACAUUUAACCAAUUCUAGCCGUUCUACGCUUGUCUUCGCUAUACACAAAAUUAAAACGCUAAUCUCUUCAACCAAACUCCAGCUUAUUCCAAAAAAAAAACAACUACUUAGAGCUAUUAAACAAAUUCAGGGAGCGCCAUAAAUUGCGUGGAUAAGAAACUGAUCUUGCUCUGGCAACACUGGCACAGGUAUCUUCCGUACGCUUCCAAAGCCGCAGAAGAAAAAGUAAUAAAAAAACACAAAAGCUGCAUAAAGCUGAUUUCGCAACCGGAAAACUCGUAGGCAAAGCUACGAAAUUUGCUGGAAGAAAUUUUUUGAUAUGCAAAGCAGUUGAUCAAAAGGAUUUUCUUGACAACACAAAUAUUUACAUAUAAAAUAAAUAUUUAUAAUUAGCAGCUGAGCCACAAUUUAGUUCAUAAAUCGACUUUUUCCCAAGCGUAUUGGGCAAAGCAAUUUAAUAAUUGAGCAAGCAAUUAAAACAUUAACUAAGAAACUGCAGACAAAGAAACAAAAAAUAAAAAUAAAAAUUAACUGAAGAAAGAAGAGCAUAAAUCGCGCACAUUCGAAAAUUUUACUGCUUCCUAAAUUAGAAAAACAAAAAA